UUACAAUAAAUGAAGGUAAUGAAGGUAAUGUAAUUUUGAUUAUUAAAUUAAUUUGUUUAAAAACAUGAAGAUAAUAUUCUAACAAUAAAUUUAUUGUAGGUAUCGUUUGCUGUAAUCUAGUAUAAUGAAGUAGGGUAAGAUAGAAAGACCAUGAAGCUUUCUUUAUUUAUAAUUCUUAUAUAUUAUUUUUUUAUUAGAUUGGCAAUUUUUUUCUACAUAAUAAUGUAAUCUGAAAUCUGAUACAUAUUUAUGUUGAUCAUAUGUAAUCAUAUGAAUAUUUCUAACUGUAAACUAAUAAUUGAUUCUUUUGUACAGACAAAGAUUCAGCUGUUAUUUAUUAUUCACUUCCUAACUUUCGAGAUAAAUUCUCGAAAUCUCGAAAAAUUUCUUGCUCUCCUGAGAAAACAAGGUUUCGCGUGGCGAUAGACAGAAAGAAAAGAAAACAAAAAGACUGGAAUCGGAGAGAUCGUACAUCGAAAUAUCAGAGACUGGAUUGCACGUUUCAUUGUUGACUGUCGUUCGUCGUUCCGUUUAACUAUUCAUUUCAUUUCCCUUGGAACGAUACUGAAACACUUGACACGAUUUCUGAACUGUUCUCUCGUUGUUAAUGCAGCAACCGAGCCUUCUUAUUUUUAAUCUUCCUCGUCCUUCCACUCAUUCGCACCGGAUCACUUGAGACAGUCGCGAGAGAUUGUCUCCUUCGACUCCAUCUUAGAGGAGACAGAAGGGUAGCUUUUUCCUGAGAAGUGUUUGCGUUUGCAGCGCGAGAAAUACGGCAUCGUCUGGCCGUAAUUACGUCGAAACGUCGUAGACGACGAGCUGUAGAGAGGUUAGAGAGAGCGAAAUAUUCACAGGAAGACGGCACCUGUCGCUUCGGCCUGCAGAAUUUCCGGGAUACGAAGAUAUGUGUCGCGUUCCAACGCGAGAAUGGAACUUGAUAAAAGG